rnacentral:tRNA from 1 species
UGUGGGGUGGUGGACGUUGGCAUACACGCUGAUCUUUGAAAUCAGACUACCGCAGGUUCGAUUCCUGCCCCCACAA